GGGGGAGGCCUACCAUGCAAGCCGAGCGGUAGAGUUCCUUCGGGAACUUGAGAGCGGCGUACGGGUGACCGAACACGUGUGCAACCUGCCUUUAUCUGGGAGAUAGCCCUCCGAAAGGGGGAUUAAUAUUCCAUAAUAUAUCGAUUGGCAUCAAUUGAUAUUGAAAGCUCCGGCGGAUAGAGAUGGGCACGCGCAAGAUUAGAUAGUUGGUGAGGUAACGGCUCACCAAGUCUGCGAUCUUUAGGGGGCCUGAGAGGGUGAUCCCCCACACUGGUACUGAGACACGGACCAGACUCCUACGGGAGGCAGCAGUGAGGAAUAUUGGACAAUGGGUGCAAGCCUGAUCCAGCCAUCCCGCGUGAAGGAUUAAGGUCCUAUGGAUUGUAAACUUCUUUUAUACAGGGAUAAACCUACUUACGUGUAAGUAGCUGAAGGUACUGUAUGAAUAAGCACCGGCUAACUCCGUGCCAGCAGCCGCGGUAAUACGGAGGGUGCAAGCGUUAUCCGGAUUUAUUGGGUUUAAAGGGUCCGUAGGCGGGCUCGUAAGUCAGUGGUGAAAGCCUGCAGCUUAACUGUAGAACUGCCGUUGAUACUGCGAGUCUUGAGUAAAUUUGAAGUGGCUGGAAUAAGUAGUGUAGCGGUGAAAUGCAUAGAUAUUACUUAGAACACCAAUUGCGAAGGCAGGUCACUAAGAUUUAACUGACGCUGAUGGACGAAAGCGUGGGGAGCGAACAGGAUUAGAUACCCUGGUAGUCCACGCCGUAAACGAUGCUAACUCGUUUUUGGGUUUUCGGACUCAGAGACCAAGCGAAAGUGAUAAGUUAGCCACCUGGGGAGUACGUUCGCAAGAAUGAAACUCAAAGGAAUUGACGGGGGCCCGCACAAGCGGUGGAUUAUGUGGUUUAAUUCGAUGAUACGCGAGGAACCUUACCAAGACUUAAAUGGGAGUGGACAGGCUUAGAAAUAGGCCCUCCUUCCGGCCGCUUCCAAGUGCUGCAUGGAUGUCCGUCAGCUCGUGCCGUGAGGUGUUAAGGUUAAGUUCUUGCAACGAGCGCAACCCCUGUCACUUAGUUUGCCUACCAUUUCAGUUUGAGGACACUUCUAG
rnacentral:rRNA from 1 species